rnacentral:lncRNA from 1 species
UUUUUUUUUUUUUUUUUUAUCGAAAAUCAAUUUGAUUGCAUUAACUUGAUAUCACAAUGUUUGAUACAACAUCUCUACUUCCUUUGUAAUCAUUUUGUGCACUCUCCUAAAGCCACAUGAAAAAAUUUCCUUCUCAUUCAGCAUUCCUAACUAGUUGAACAACCAACUUUGCUAACCAAUAUGCACACUUGUUUCGAAUAUUCAAAUUGAACCCCUUUGAUUGGUAAGCAUCCAAAAAAGUUGUUUAUGCUUGGAUCUUUGUAUGUAAACACGUCUUGACUAAUGGUAAUUGUCAAAAUUUUUGAAAGUUUAAUUUUACAAUCAUUAUGGUUUUAUCACCGGACGUCUCUUUUGUUUGUCGUCCAUAUUUGCAUUAAAAGAGCCAAAGUUUUCGAGGUUCAAAACUUAAGAGAUAUAUAUAUGUGUGGGAGAAGAGAAAUAAUACCAAAAAUAAUAUAUUAAUCACACACCAUAAAAACAAUGCUAAUGCUUUCAAAUUCAACGCUCUCAAAUUUUCACUCUUCUUGACUAAUAAUAAUAUUAAGACUCCCCAUUUAAAGAUUAGAUGAUUUGGUAAACAAGUCUUACAAUCACCAAAAACUUUCUAAUAAAAUAUUAAUUUCUAAAUAAUGAAACUACCAUAACUUGACUCCAAUAGUAGUAUUACUAAAAUCUUAAUUUGAUUAAAAUAAUGUUAAAUAAUUAUAUGAAAAUUUCUAUUUUUUUAGGACUGAUUUAAUAUGCCAGCAUUGCCUCCUUUAAAUCAAGAUUUCGUGGUUUUACAUGAUGCCCUUGAUAUUUAUGUAACGCAUUAUUUUGCAAUUUUUGUCCUGGUUAGGCAAGUGAGUGCCAUGGAAUAUUCGAUUGCCAUACGAUUUUUAACUAAAAAGAAACCGGUUUAUCCAGCUGAUGGGACCAUCCCACGUCUUCGUCCAAGUAUGGUUUUCGUGGUGGGGAAUGAUCCAUUUCUCCGCAAAAAAGUUUCUCAAUUUGGUUUGUAACAUAUUACUUGUAAAUUAAAUUGAUCUUUCAGAGCAUUUAUUUCUGCAUGACUUUGAUAACUGUACUGUCCAGUGAUGUGUUUUACCUGUAUUACUAUGACUCUGAUAACUAGGUGUUCUAACUAUGGCCCGUUUGUCUAAGUAAAUUUUUUAAGUGUUUAUCUAAAAUUUUACUGUAAUUUACUAUAAAAGUUUUUUAAAAAUUUUUUGAAAUAGGUAAACUUUUGAAUAUUUUGAAGUGCAUAGUUUGAAAAUUUUGAGAAAUUUUUUUAGGUUACUGUAGCUAAAAGUUUCAAAAAACUUGUAGCAGACAAACUUGGUAAAAAACUCAAGUACCAAACAGGACCAUACAUUGACAAUAUUCACACUAUUACUGCUGGAUCCGUGAUACAUGUAUAAAAGUUCGAUUUUAAAUUUAAAUCUUACAUAAUUAUAAUUCAUCCGAUGUAGGAAAGAUUUUAAUCCUAUUUAAUUUUAAAUACAAUAAGUUCUCCUCUCUUCAUCAGUAUUCACAAGAAUAAUAAUAAUGUUAACUUUAAAAAUUUGUCACAUUUGGUCCCAUGGCAGGAGUAAUGAUGUGUGUGACAUGACAUAUGAUUGUACGAGUAAAAUUUUUCCAAACCCUGGAUACCUUUAUGGUGGGAACAUGCCUAUGGUAGGAAGGCUGGCAGAGAGUGACACGUGUUGACGUUAUAUACAGUCCAAACAGAGACGUUUAAUUGUUGCACAACGCGUGAAGAGGAAAUAUACGAGAAUCGUCUGCGGAUGCAACCAUAAAGCACUGGCUUCCGUACGAGUUGGGCCAGAAAGUGUUAUUGCAUGUUAAAAUCAGAGGCAUUUAUGUAUUUGCAAAUAUACCUAUUACCAAUGGAAAAAUGUUGCAAAUGCCUUGGACAAAAAAUGUGCGUAAAGAAGGUACCGAAAUUUUAAGAAAUAAUAAAUGAUUAUCGGACACACGUGGAGGAUAAUAAUUUGGAAGAAGGAAAAGUGGAGGUAAACGAAAGGAUUCAAGCCUUCAUUAUAUUUAUAUACAUAUAUAAAUUUAGUACCCAAGUGUUCAGCUUAAGCAUCCGAGAAAAUGGUCCCAUAACUAUCGAUAUGGUAAACAACACAGUUUUAGACAUGAUAUAAUAGGUUCUAAAAAUUUUAGUGACCAUUUGAUUAUCCGUUAGACCUAUCCACUUGAAUAGGAUUACGGGUAAAAAUAAGGGAGUAAAUUUGUCAUUCAAAAUAGUAAAUUAAUGUAAUAAAUUAGUAACUUUUGCAGUCGAAAAGGUAAAUUGUAAUUAAUAUGAAACAUAUUUUUUAAACAGAUAAAUUAUAAUAGUAUAUCCCAAAUAUACUUUUGAGGGAGUAAGUUUAUUUGAAGUAAAAAUAUGUUUUUAUACAUAAAUAGUGAGUUUUAGUUAUAACAUAGUAAAUUUGAUUAAUGACAAAAACAUGCUAAUUUAUGGCCAUAAUAUUGUAUUAUGCUUAAAAAACUUAUACGUAGCCCAUAUUUUAGAGUUAUUUAAAAUAACAUAAAAAUGUAUUAUUAAUGAUUAAAACUGAGUACGUUACUUAGUCAGUACAGUUAUUAUACUUGUAUACAUACUUGAUGGUAUGUGUAUAAAUAAGCAUUUUUGAGAUUUAUGGGGAAAAAUUGAUUUUUUCUUUUGCAGUUUAAAAAAAAAGGUAAGAGAAAAUCUUUUUUCUUAGAGCACAAAAAUCCACAAGUCAAAAUUGUUGGUCUAAAGGGGAAAGAAACAUUCUGAAUAUCAUUGUUUAUAGUACUAAAUAAAUUAGAUGUAAAAUGCUCGUUAAAAGUUGGUGCGUUGACAUAUAAUAAAGAAAAGACAUAAAGAGCGGGCCAUUUACAGAAAAAGUUGUCAUUCAUAAAAAUAGCAACGCUUUACGAUUUUUUUAUCAGUCUUGCAACGUAUGAGCAAAAUGGCAAUAAUUAAAAUAGUAUUUAAUUCGAAUUAUACAUAUUUCAUUAAUUUUUUCCAUUUAAAAAAUGAAUGAGAAUCUUUUAUGAGAAAGCACAUAAGUCAAAGAAAUGGUGUAAAAGGGAAAAGAAUAGCAUAUACGUACAGUACCUAUAGUUUAUGUUCGAAGAACUGUAGUGCUAUUUUUGAAAAAUAUCCCAAAAAAUAUGUAAUUGAAAUGGAACCGAUUCUUCACUAUUUAAAAUAUCAAAUCUGUGAUUGUGUUGUAACUGUUAUCCAUUGGUAUCGUAAAGUAUCAUUUUCCCGUCAAAUUUCACCUCUUUAACACCAAUUUUCUCAUAAACCAAUUCAUUUAUCGGAUAAAAUACAUGAAAAUUCAGUUUUGAAUAAAACAGUAGCUGUUUAUGACUUUCCUCUAUUAUAUGAACAGAGUACCCAUUUUUGCAUAAACAAAUUUAUUUAUCGGAUGAAAUAAAAAUAAAUUCAUUGUUCAAUAAAACACUAAUUCUUUAUGCCUUUCCUCUAAUAUAAAAACAGAGCACCCAUUUCAGCCCCUCUACAAAAAUUCCACCUCUUUAACACCAAUUUUCCCAUAAAUCAAUUUAUUUGUCGGAUAAAAUACAUGAAAAUUCAAUUUUUCAAUAAAACACUAGCUCUUUAUGGCUUUCCGCCAUUAUAAGAACAGAGUACCCAUUUUUGCAUAAACAAAUCUAUUUAUCGGAUGAAAUUAAAAUAAAUCCAUUGUUCAAUAAAACACUAACUCUUUAUGGCUUUUCUCCAUUAUAAAAACUGAGUAUCCAUUUUAGCCUCUUUAGAAAAAAAAUCUUGAGUUUUAUCCUUAGUGAAAAAUGUAUGAUACGUAAUUUUUUCACUGUAUUGAAUUUAUAUGAUGGUCAAUUAAAUGGGUCAAUUGGAUUAGUGUGCAGCAGUUUUGUGAAUGAUUCUGAGAGUAAACUAUAUUAUGGCAAUAAAAUACAUUGAAUUGUGAAAAUUAUUAUUUCUGCAUGCUUCUAAAUUUUGGAUAUGUGACUUUCGCUAUUGCGAAUAUCUUAAAUUAACAGUUAGUUAUUACUAUGAGUAAUGUGGUAAGUGUGAGUUGUGAAUGUCAGUAAUAACUGUUAGUUAAUACUAUCAGUAAAGUCAGCAGUAAAUGUGAGAUGUUAAUUGGAAUUUGCAGAUAUUAAUUUGACAUGGUUGGUUAUUAUCUGUUAGUUAAAUUUCGGGAGUUUUAAUUUUAUUAGUUAGUGGGGAAAAUGUGAGGGAAAUAUGGGAAAAACAUGAGCAUGAUUAUAGGAUUUGUACGAGCAAUUAAAGGAUUAGUUGUGAGAUAAACAUUUCUUAAUUUUAAAAAUGUAAAAAUGUAAUAAAAUAGUAUUCGAACUUUUGACAAUUUGAAAAGCUCCUUAUCUAAAAUUCUCUCUGCAAUACAUAUAGAUAGAUAUAGAUGUCUUUUUUUUUUGGUGGUUGAAUGUCAUAUUCGCGAACUAUCUGCAGAAAAAAAUAAAUUUGUAGACUAAACUAAUUUUGUUAUACCAACUCUGUUAUUCUUAUUAUUGUAUUAAUUGUUAUGCUAUUUCUCUCAUUUUGUUAGGUCUACAUUAAUGCAAGUUUAAUUCCUAUUAUGUCUUAUGUCCCAGAAAAUACAUAUUAUCCUAUUUAGGUGGAUACGUCCAACUAAUAAUCAAAUUGAUGCUAAAAAUUUAGAAUGAAUAAGUUGCUUUUGCAUAAUGGUUGGAAAGUUUUCUUGAGACUUUAUGAAUGAGGUGUCUUGCAGUUGCCAAAAGAAUUUGUAGCAUAUUUUUGUAUUGGAAAUGGAGUAAAAACUUGCUAUGGGUUACUUUUCUGUAUUUCAAUUUCAUCGUAAAGGGUAAUUUAUUGUUCAACCUAAUUUCAUUCUGAUUUUAUCUAACUAAUAAAUUAACGUAUGAAAAUAGAUAAUUUAUGGAGGAAAGCCAUAAGUAGCUGGUGCUUUAUUGAAAUAUUGAUUUAUUUUUAUUUUAUCCAAUAAAUAAAUUUGUUUAUGAAAAAUGGGUACUCUAUUCUCAUAAUGGAGGAAAGCCAUAAAGCUAGUGUUUUAUUGGAAAACAGAUUUAAUUUUAUUUUAUCCGAUAAAUAAAAUUUUUAUAUGCAAAAAUGGGUACUGUGUUUUUAUAACGGAGGAACGUGAUAAAGAGAUAGUAUUUUAUUGAAAAAUGGGUUUAUUUUUAGUUUAGCCGAUAAAUAAAUUUUUUAAUGACAAAAUGGGUACUUUGUUCUUAUAAUGGAGAAAAGUUAUAAAGAACUAGUGUUUUAUUGGAAAACGGAUUUCAUUUUAGUUUAGUCGAUAAAUAAAUUUUGUUUAUGUAAAAAUCGGUACUGUAUUCUUAUAAUGGAGGAAAGUGCUAAAGAGUUAGUAUUUUAUUAAAAAAUGGGUUUAUUUUAAGUUUAGGCGAUAAAUAAAUUUUUGUGAGAAAAUGGGUACUUUAUUCUUAUAAUGGAGAAAUGUCAUAAAGAACUAGUGUUUUAUGAGAAAACGGGUUUAUUUUUAUUUUAUCCGAUAAAUAAAAUUUUUGAUGAGGAAAAUGGGUACUGUGCUCUUAUAAUGGAGAAAAUUCAUAAAGAGCUAGUGUUUUAACCUAAAAUCGGUUUUAUUUUAUUUUAUUUUAUCCAUUAAUUUUUCUUGGGAAAAAUGAGUACUCUGUUCUUAUAAUGGAGGAAAGGCAUAAAGAGCUAGUAUUUUAUUGCAUAAAAGGUUUAUUUUUUUCAUCCAAUAAAUAAUUUUUUUAAGGGAAAACGGGUGUUAAAGAGGUGGUAUUGGAUGAAAAAAUGAUACUUUAGAAUACCAAUAGAUAACAGUUAAAACACAAUCACAGAUUUGGUAUUUUAAAUAAUGAAGAAUCGGUUCCGUUUGCAUUGCAUAUUUUUCGGGGUAUUGUCAAAAACAUCACUGUAGUCCUUCGAACGUGAAAUACAAGUACUGUACAUAUCUGCUAUUCCUUUCCCUUUUAGACCAAUCAUUUUGACUUAUGUGCUUUCUGAUAAAAAUUUUCAAUUAUUUUUUUAAUUUGCAAAAAAUAAAUUAAUUCUGUAUAAAUCGAAAAGAUUACUAUUUCAAUUAUUGGCACUUUGCUCAUGCUUUGGAGGACUGGUAAGAAAGCCGUGAAGAGCUGGAAUUUUUAUUAAUGAAAACUUUUUCCAUAAAUGGCCUGAUUUUUAUGACUUUCCUUUAUUAUAUGUCAAACUACCAAUUUUUAACCUGCAUUUUACAUCUAUUUAUUUGGUACUUUAAACAAUGUUAUUCAGCUGUAUCUUUCCUUUUCAGACAAACUAUUUUCACUUGUGAAUUUUGGUGCUCUGCGAAAAAAAAAUUUUCGCUUACUUUUUUUUUUUUAAACUGCAACAGAAAAAAUUUAAUUAUGUAUAAAUUUCAAAAAUACUAAAUUUUUCACAUACGAUCAAGUAUUUAUACAAGUAUAUUAACAUUACUUACUAAGUAAGGUACUCAGUUUUAAUCAUUAAUAAAACAUUUUAGUGUUAUUUUAAAUAAUAAAAUAUGGGCUUGGCAUAAGUUUUUUAAGCAUAAUAGAGAAUUUUUGCCAUAAAUUAGCAUGUUUUUGUCAUUAAUCAAAUUUACUAUAGUAUAAGUAAAAAUGAUUAUUUAUGUAUAAAAACAUACUAUUACUUCAAAUAAACUUACUCCCUCAAAAGUAUAUUGAGGAUAAAAAUUGUAAUUUAUCUCUUUAAAAAGUAUGUUUCGUAAUACUUUCAAUUCACGUUUUGGGCUGCAAAAUUACUAGUUUAUUACGUUAACUUACUAUUUUAGAUGACAAACUUACGUCCUUAUUUUUACGCAUAAUCCUAUUCAAGUGGAUAAGUCCAACAGGUAAUCAAAUGGUUGCUAAAUUUAUUAUAAUCUAUUAUAAUAAGUUUUUUUACCAUAACGAUAGUCAUGGGACCAUUUUCCCGGAUGCUUAAGCUGAACACUUGGUCACUAAAUUUAUAUAUGUAUAUAAAUAUCACUAAAUUUAUAUAUGUAUAUAAAUAUAAUAAAGGUUUGAAUCCUUUGGUUUACCUCCACUUUUUCUUCUUCCAAAUUAUUAUCCCCCACGCGUGUGCGAUAAUCAUUUAUUAUUUCUUAAAAUUUCGGUACCUUCUUUAUGCACAUUUUUUGUCCAAGGUAUUUGCAAUAUAUUUCCAAUCGUAAUGGGUACAUUUACAAAUACAUAAAUGCCUCUGGUUUUAACAUGCAAAAACACUUCCUGUUUCAACUUGUACGGAAGUCAGUGUGCUUUUUGGCAUUUGCAGACGGUUCUGGUAUAUUUCCUCUCCACGUGCUGUACAAUAAUUUAACGUCUCCGUCUUCCUACUAUAGGCAGGUUCCCACCAUAAAGGUAUCCCUUCUCUUUCUCCCAAAUUGAUGGGUUUGAUGUGAUUGGACCCGAUGUUCCAUUGAUUUUCUUUUCGAGGUAAUUGCAUCAACCAAGUCUCGCAUGGAGAAGCACAUGAGUAUGCUUUACCAAUUGUUACAUCAAUAAUGAGAUUUUAGGGUACCAACUUAGAUAUUUGUAGUAAAUAUUAUUAUGAUGUUUGUGAUGUACAUACAAUUUGUGAAGACAUAAAUUUUAGAACUUGUAAUAAAAGAACAUAAAAGAGAUGACAAAUUCUCUAAAUUGAAUCCGUGAAUGGCACAAUGGUGUAACACGUUUUACGAAUUCAUAUGGUACAUUUUCACAUCUCAAUAUUUCAUGUAUACCAUAUGCAACAAAUCAAUCAGGUGUUAGAAUAUAUAUCUGGAUUUGGCAGGCUUCUUUCAUUAGUUUUUGAUGAAUGUUUUGAUGAUCUUUUUGUAUUCAUCUUUUUGUAAUAAAUUCAUCACCUUCAUGCUACGUAUGAUGCUCCUGCGCGAUGUGCGAAUUUACAAAUAAUUCAUUCUUGUGACCCACGUUUCAAUUUUCAUUCUUUUCUAGGAACUAAUAUGCCAUCGUUGAAUCGUCAAGUGUUCAAUAUAAAGUGAUUGAUCUAUAGAUGAAUACAGUCCUGAUUCUAAAUUUGAGGUUCAAAUUCUUGCACCUUAUAGUUAAAUCUUGUAAGUCAGAGUUAGUGAUACACCUCCAAAAUUUUGGCUUCACUGAGAUCUAAAAUCCGUUAUCUGUCAACAAGCAAAUUAAAAAUAUAAACUGAAAUUACAAACCAAUUUGUAUGUAGGCAUAUUCGAACUAAGAUCAGAUGUAGUUAUACUAAUUACUACAGUAACAUCUUUCUAUAAAUUAUCAAAAAAUUGGCACAUAAUAUAAACUUUUAAGUUUAAUUUUAUGCAGUAUUACCGUCGUUGAUCAAGAGAAGGGGGAAAAAAAGAGAAAUGCUACAUUUUAAAUUUAGACUUGAGAGCUAAUUAAUUAUGAAACAUAAGAACUAUAGUCCAAAUUCCUUCCAGAGUCUGUUGUAUAAUUUUUAUGGAUUUUGUCAUUUCGUGAAUUUUUACUAAAUAGCGAAUUAGUGAAUCUCCCUCGUUUUGCCAUUAAACCUUCCAAUCAAAUUCGCAGUAACACUCAUAAUGAUCAACCUUACCAAGAUCCCAUUGUAUUUCGGAAGCUUGUAGCAUUGGUCAUGAUAAAACCCCAAUUUAGUGUUUCUUCUCCGUGAUAAUGCCUACGUCUACAACUCAUUCGAAAAAAAUUAGGAUUACAUGUAAUAAGUUUGAUAAUGAACAUCAACAAGGAGGGAGAAAAGAGAUCAUUGGCAUUUGGACUUUUUGCUUUCCUAAAGUAAUAGAUGCUGCCAUAGAAUUUGCGGAUGAUUAAUAAAAAUAAAUCAAUAUAUGAAGAAUAGAUUAGAAUUUAAGGGGUUUUUCUAACUAAUGGGUUAUCCAUUAACAUACCUAACAUUCACCUAACUUAACAUAUAUAUACACAUACUAACAAUUAUUAUUCUCCCUUACAUUUGUAUACUUUCUCUAUUUAAUCUUACCUACCAUCUCUUGUAUUUAUUUACUUUCUCUAAUUAAUAUUACAUUUCAAAUAAUAUGACAUCUGAAAUAUAUCUUAAUGAGUAUCCUAUGGGCAUAGGGCACCUGUUAAAUAUAUCCUUGUCUAUUUAUCUAUUAUUUGGAAAGAAUGAUUAUAGGUACUUCUAAAAAUUAAUGACAACCUAGAAAAUGGUAAAACCACAUCUAGGCAACAGUUUUCCCAAGGAAACUUUUGAAGUUUGAGGCUUGAACUACAGCUAUCAAAUUAAAAAAAAGGGGGGGGGGGGGACUAUUCAAAGUUGGUUUAUGUUACCAAAAAGUUCAACUUAUGAAAAAGAUCAAACAAGAUGGCAAGAGAAAUCUUCUAAAAUACUAACUUGUGAAAAUAAACCAUACUUUAUUGCUAAAUCUAAGUUCACAAAAUCUUGUUAAAUCGCAACAUGGUCCAUCUCGUAAAAUGGCAACGAAUUAAUUUCAACUUUUCUUCUACAUACACUAAACAUGUAAAGAAGGACUUAAUCAUAGGUUAAAGCUUAUAAUACAAGAAAGCAUAAUUUUCUAUUUUUUUUAUUGGAUUAAUCUUCUAUACACUAACAUAUUUUUUUUAGAUAUGUUCAAACACGUUUGAUAAUAAAAAAUAGAACAUUUGAAUCAAUUAAUUAGCAUUGAAUUUUUCAGACAAAACUUGUUCCAAAAAUAAGCGAUAAGCUAGUCACUUGUCACUUAAUGUAAUAUACAUUGAAUGAACUCAGAUUUCAAAUUUCAAAUUUGCAAUAUCAGUUUUAUCAAAUACACCCUAAGAGUUAAUUUAAAAAAAAGAAAUGAAAUUAAAAAAGCGUUUAAAUGUAAUAGAGAUAAUAAAGUUGAGCUAUAAACUUAAAUGAUACAUUAUAUUUAAUAUAAGUGCACUAACCAAUGUUUUAGCCAUCAAAAUCAAAUUUUGAAUGGCAAACUACUUUUAGGCCCUUGAGCUUUAACAAUCUAUAUUUUUUUUAUCCUCCAAUAGUUGUUGACAUCCUUUUUGUCCCUGAACUCUAUUAAAUGUAUACUUACAACUCUUUCGUCAAUUUGAGCCAUUAACCUAACGAAAAGAGCAUUACAUACAAUGUACAAGUGAAAAUUUAGUAUAUAAAAAUAUAUUUUAUAUAAAAUAAAAUAUUUAUAAUAUGUAUAAAUAAAUAUAUUUAAAUUAAUAUAAUAUAUAUAUCCUAUACAUAAUUGAAAUAUACAAAUUGAAAUAAACAUAUUAAAUAUGUAUUUGGAGUUGUUUAUGAUAUAUUGUUUGGAUAUGAGUUUUUCUCCUGGAAUAGUACUGUUUGGAUUGCCAUUUUCUGCCAGAAAAUUGCGUCGUUUUCCGUGAUCACAUUUUUUUAUUACCUUUUCCCCUCACAUACAUCAAAUCGCUACAGUAUUUUUUUCAUAGAAAAUGACGGAAAAUGCAAUCCAAACGGGACAGGUACCCAAACUCAUGAUUUUGAAUUCGAUACAAAUUGAGUUGAGUGGAAUCGAAUUUUGACUUAAUUUUAUCAAGUUUGAUGUCGAUCUCAAACUCAACGAGUUGUCAUUAUAAAGUUCGAGUUCGAAUUUAACCUUAGAUUCAAACCGAGUCGAACUCAAUCUUGAGUUUACUCGAGCUUAAAACAUAAAAAAAUAAUUAUUUUAUUUUAAAAAAUGAAUAAUAUACUAGUAUAGUAUUUUUUUGUUAACAAAUAAUAAAAUGUUAGGAAUACAUAUCUAAUUUCAUCACUAACAUAUAUAUAUAUAUAUGUAUAUAUAAAAUAAAGCGACUCGCAAGCUAACGAGUUUUUUUUGCUCGAACUCAAGUUAAUUAGCUUGAAUUUGGGUCGAGUUCAAUCAAGUUUUGACCGAGCCAAUUCAUGAGUGCAGGUGAAUAGUUUAAUUCAUUUGUAACUCUACUUUUAUCCCAUUUUAGUAUCUCGUUACUUUAUAUAUAUAUAUAUAUAUAUAUUUACUUUUAUUUCCCCAGUACACCCUUCCCUUCUAUAGCUAUCAAGUAUAAGAUUCGAAACCUAAUCGCAACGAAGGCUCCAAGAGCCAUCCUGUAAGUCUUCUGUCCAGUGAACGAUCGGUUGUUAAUAUCCCAUUACAUAAUGCGGUCUUUACCUUUAUGGUUGGUUUGGUUUCUAGAUUGGGUUGCUGCUUUCGACUUUUCUGAAAAAAUUUACGUCAUAAAUCCAAGAUAAAUCUUCCUCCAUAAAACAAACUUCAUUGUCUUUUGCAUCAACAAGCAAAUAUGAAACCAAAAAAUAGUAGGAAAGUAGAAAAUUGGUUGUACUACUUUAGGGCUUUAGUUUGCAUGUCUAAUUGAGGAAAACCUUUUGAUCAACCAAUCAAACGCAGGAAUCGAGUUGUUUUUCCUCAACUUUUUCAUAACCAUUUUUUACUCUACUAAAAUGAUUUAUUUUCUUUUUAAAAGUUUAAGUCAUUUUAAUUGAAUAGGAGUUAUGAACACUACUAUCCACCAUAUAAUAAUUCCUAAAUUUGUUAUCAAUGCAGCCUUUGCUAUGCAAAGCAAAAUAAAAUAAAUUUGUGCAAUGAAAAUAAUAAGAGUCCAAUUUUCGCGUAUUAUCUUAAAAGAGUGAAGCAAAUUGCUUGAACCAAUCAUUGCUCUCAUCAAUAUGUAAUCUGUACUUGGUAAACUAUAACGAGUAACUGCAUCUUGGUAAUUAUCUUAAUUCAUCCACUAAUAAAUAAAAUUUUUUGGUCAAAUUAAAUGAUGUGAUCUUGUAUAACAACUUAUUUGUUUAAAUUCAAAUUUUUUUAUAUGACUAACUUAUGCACUUCUCUUGAAUGCGAUCACACGAGAUACAACAUCUUUCAAAACACUAAUCUUUUUCAUGCGACUUGAAACUUUCUCUCUUCGCUAUUGUCAAUUUUAAGCCUUCUUCUACAAAUGAAAAGUACCGUUUCAAUUGCUAUUUUUUGAAAUUUUUGUAGAAAAAGAUACUGUAGUAAUUUAAUGUAUGUGAGAUAAAAAAUUGAUUGAAAAUAUGUUCACGAAAAGGGUAAAAAAAAUUUUUGGAGAAAAAUUACAUUCCAAACAGAUUCACUGCAACAUAAUGAACUAGAAAUAUAUCCAUGUAUUUCUUAUACUAGAAAUAUUAAUUUUUUAUUUGCUAGUAUAGUGGGGAGCUUCCUUAGCUAUACGUAUGAUUUUUUUGGUUUGACUUUCAAUGCCUAAAAGUGAACGAAUUCUUCAUUUAUGAUUUUCCCUCGUGGGAUGGCAUUAUUUUUUUAGACGUUAGUGAUCAGUUUCAUAAAGCACGUAUGCAUUGAACAUGGAAGCAUCCAAAUUUGUCGAAAAACAAGCUAAUAGAUUACCUCACCGGCUUUUGUCCUUUUUCAAGAUUAAAAAAAAAAUUUGUUCUAAGUAUUAUAUUAUUCUCACAAUUUUGUAUAACUUCUUUUCGAAUUUUAUACAAUAUAUGGAAUUCUUUUUUCUUUUUUUUUUUUACAAUUGUGCUAGCUAGCAAUCUGUAUAUGUUAGUUACAGUCUCUUUUCAUUAUCAAACAAACAUCUUGUCAUACUGUCAUCAUCCAUCUUUGCUAAUUCCUGAAAAAAAAACAGAAAAAUUUAAAAAAAGAAAAGAAAACAAAAGAAUUGGAAUUCUCUGGUCAGAUUUGGGUGCUACAUGUGACAGCCCCACCUUCCCCUAAGGCGAACCAAAGGGGUUAGCGGACUGCCUGCCCAGCUCUCGCCAGGACUAACGAGUAGUAACACGCGAUUUAAAACGUUUCGGGAAAGUAAAGUGCGCUCGGACAAGCCACAAGUAUCAAAAUAAAAAAAAAUAAAAAAAACGAAAAUGAUGAAUAGUGCCUGGAACAGUGGAAUCCGGCCGGAAUCUGGCCGGAUUACAGGCCGGAUUCUUGGCCGGAUACUGUCCAGUAGCUAAACUCCCGGAUUCAAAAUUUUCCCCAGGCAAUCCGGCCAGAAACUGGCCGGAUUCUUGGCCGGAUUCAGACCUGUGCCUUUCCGUCAAAAAUUUUUCUUUUGCCGUUUGAAAGCCGAACCUGUCCGCAACCCUACCAAACAUCAUAAAUACAUAUACAACGCAACAUUUAGCGUUUACAAGUCAAAUGGCAUAUGAAAGUCACUCAAAAGUUAAUACAUGUACGAUUGCCAAUUGAAAAGUGAAAACGGCCUCAAAGGCACAUUUAAGGUUCCAUUCAAAAACUAUACAUGUCAAAACUAUAGUAAUCUAGUUCAUUCGGCAACCAAUUCAAAAGUCAUUCCAAAAACAGACAGAUUCCUGUAAGGAAAACAAAAGGAACGGGGUGAGCUAAUUGCCCAGUGAGAAUACAACUCAAACAACCAAGUUCAUAGAUGCAUCCAGCUUAACAGUCCAAUUUACCAAAGUUAAGUAAAGCCACACAUCGAUAAUGAGGAUAAAAGGAUACGGGUGGCUCUCAAGAGCCCUUUCCCUCGUUCGCAUUUCUUGAUCGAACACCAUUGACUCUCCGUCAAUUUUCAACAAUAACCAACCGUAGACUCCACUUUACCUCCAUUCCAUUCCACCUAACAUUCCCCAACCGGGCCCGCAAUCCAAACACAUGCAUUGUGGUAUUACUCGAGUAAACCGGAAUCGAGAGUCUAUCAUACUACAAGAUUCCAUAACAUUGCCCCAAGGCACAUUAAUUGACACGACCAAGCCCUCGCCGGCUCGAUUCAAUCAAUUACCAAUGGGGUUGAGUUCAUUGAUAACAUUUGUAGUCGUUGGAGACUCGUCCAAACGAUACCAAGUCAUGUAUUUCUUUUCAUAUAACAUUUCAUAUAACAUUCCAAUAACUUUCCAAUAACAUGCAAAACAACAAGUGAAAGUGAUAAAGUACACUCUCACUUCAAUCAAUUAACAUUCAACAUCUCAAGUUCAAGUAUCAAAGUCAUAUAAUAACACAUAAGUGAGUAGUAUACUCACCACGUUAGCAAAUGCGGUUUCAUGCACUUCCGUCAAAAGAACGUUGUGCACCACCGUCACGCCCUAAAAACAUGCAAACAAAUACAAUGAGACUCGAUAACGAGUCCUAAACCAAGGCCAAACAUGACCCCAAUAGAGUUCCAUAAGCAUAUACAAACAAUCAAGGAAACCAGAAAUUUCAGAAAUGUAACUAACUUGGCCCUGAAAAAAACAGUUUUUGUCCUCAUUUUGCGGUAAUGGCACAAAUUGCACUACGCUUAUCGGAUGAGGGUACAAGACCCACCAUCUCGAAGCUAAAAGACAGGGCUACAACAUCACAGGAGGUCACUCAACCCAGUUUUGAGUGCAAACAGGUCAAAAAUGCAAGAUACUUCAUCAACAACAUAAAACAGAUUCACCAAAACGCAUUCUAGUGGAAACAUCAUAACUCAGGCUCUACAAGUCCAAAUCCAGAAAUUCUAAAACCAGAUGAAAGCUAAGAAAUAGGGCUAAAUUUCAUCAGAAGGCCUCAACAUCCAAUUCGGAAUAAAUUCCAGCCAAAACAACUAAUUACAGGCACAGUUCUCACUUUCGGGUAAAACCAGAACAGCAAUAGUAAUUUCGACUUAUCUCAUUCUACACUACUCCGAUUGACCUGAAAUUUUGUAGACACCUCUAAAAUGUCAUUCCCUACAACUUUCAUGUUUUGAGCUAAGGCCAAUUCGGCCUCUAUCUAGGACCUAAAAAUUCGGACAGAAUGCUCCCUUAAGAACCCUAGUUUUUUCAAUUUUCAUCCAAAACAGAAAUUGGUUGCAAUUAAUCACCUUUCUCACCUCCUUAAGUCAUUAUAAACCAUUUCCAAUCAUCAUAGAUAGCCACAUAAUCAUGCUUAUAAUAAAACAGAAAAAUCCCCAAUAAAUGGAAAACUUCACCACUUCAUCCAAAAUCAAGAAAUAAACCACAAAAUUCAACAUUUUAACUACCACUAAGCACAAAUUAAGCUUCAUUAGGUGAAGGAGAAGGUUCAAUCACUACUCACCUAGUAAAACAAGAGAGGGAGAGUUGCUUGUCACCUUAGCUUCCCCAAACACUUCACCAAACAACUUACUAACACCUAAUGAAGAAGUUUUAUGGAGUAGAAACAAGCUUAAGUGAUUGUUUUGGAGGAUUUGAGCUAGAUGGAAGCCAAACUUUGAAGAGUUUUCUUUCUUCCUUUGCUAGAGAAGGCCGGCCAAGAUGGAGAAGAAAAGAGUGAAUUUUUGGUAAUUUUUGAGAUAUUUUAGUCAAAUAGCAAAAAGGUGAAUAGUUGUGGACAACUCAAUCCAAUCACAUGGUGACACUUGUCAUCUCAUUUAAUGACUUGCCUAACUUUUUUUGUCUCUCAUACACCUAUCCACUUGGUACCUCUAAAUAUCUCACAACACCCGAUAAAAUAAUUCCAGUAUCCAAAACACCCGAUUAACUUUUCGCACUAGCGGGUCCCACGUCCGAUAUAUAUCCUUAAUUUUUCAAAAACUAUCCAAUACUAGAAAAAUCAUCUAAAAAUUAUAUCUGCUCCUUAAAAUUACCUAGAAAAUUUUCUAAUCACGAAAAUGCAGAAAACAAGCCAUGAAAAAUUCUAAAACCUAGAAAAUGAAAUUUACGGGUUCUCACACUACACAAGUGGAAUAUUCAUGAAUUUAUUCCGUUUCAUCGAAAUUAAUUUUGUCCACUGGUGAUGUUGACAAAAAUAUUACGGCUGAUAUUAGGCUUAGAAGUUCAACUUGAUUUCUCUUCUUCUUCCUCAAAUGUGCCUAAAUGCAUUGGAUCAUUGAAGACGGAAUGGAAGGAUGUUGUCUGCUGGCUGCCAAGGGAAAAAAAAAUGGCAUUGAAAUGACUCGACAAUGGCGGCAGACGAAUUUUCUAUAGUACGAUUACGAUUUAUUCUUUUCUCAUUAAUAGGAGUACAUGACUGGAGUGGAGCCGUCCAAUGGCUAUGUUGGUGUAUUUUUAAUGAAGCCAUUACAUUAAUCCUCCUUUUUUUUUGUCUUUUUUAACAAUUUGCUUUUUUUUUUAACAAGGGAAAAAGAUCAUUUCGUUCAAAUAAAUCUGCACUAAUGACAGAAAAUAUAUCAAACAAAACAUGAGACAGAUAUAUAUAAAUUUGAAAUCAAUAGAUACAACACAUCUAAAAAACUAAUACAAAUAAAGAUGACAUUUUGUAUCUUUAGAAGUAGAAGUAGAUUUUUUGAUCGAAAAUUGUCACAUCAAUUAAGUGACCGUUUUAUUUAAGGGGAAAAAAUAUUUAGUAUAGCUAGAACAGGAUGUAAUGACCAUUCACUCUAUCCUUUGAACAUUUUUAAAUCCUAAGAUGAUGCUUUUCCUUUUUCUGAAGAGAGAGAGAGAGAGAGAGAGGAGGGAUUUUGUUGGGGUUCUUGGAGGAAGUUGUGGCAGAUCUAAUUUCAAGCUAAUAAAUCACCCUGAUUCAAGCAUCUUUUUCAACCAUUAUAAGUUGGCAUCUAUAAGAUGCAAGUUUGGUCGUAGAUCGAGGAUUCAAAUUUUUGUGCCUGUAUUAAAAUUUGAAAUUCGAAAGUGUACAAUAGUGCACUCAUUUAGUUUAGAGAUAGGAUCAUCUACCUCUGACCCCUCUUAAUUCAGUUGGAUCAUUUUCUAACAUACGUUAAAUUAGGAGUAAAUCUAUCUUACUAUAUAUUAGAGUAUCAGUAAGAAUGAUGGCUGUACAGUUGAAAAAAAUGGUGUAGUUAAAUUAACGAUUUUGGUUGACUUCAAUAUGCAGGAAAUCGUACCAAUUGAUAGAGGAGCAUCCUUUUGUGUGUGUGUGUGUGAAAGAAGGGGCAUCCUAGAAAAGUAUAAAUGAGAAACUGCAAUUGCUGUCUUACUGCUGAAUCAUGAUUGCACUUAACUGCAAUGAGUUCAGACAAUCUUUUAGUACAAACUUAGGGAAAAUGUGGUACAAAUGAGGAUUCUUAAAUGGAAAAGUAGCUGUAUUCCUUGAAGGGCUGCUUGUUCAAUGCUGAUGAUUGGAAGUUUGACAUCUUUUUUUUGUUUUUUCAGAUGGUAAACUCAACCGGGCUGCUUAGCAGUUGGCUGUCGGUGACUGACAUGUUGGCUGUCCCCGUUCUUCAACGGCCUCAUUGACGUCAAACGUAGACCGGCGAAAGGAGUUCUUAAAUACCGAUGAGAUUAAUGCGGAUAAUCUCAAAACACUUAGACUAAAUUACCCUUUGAUGAAAUAAAGACAUUUAUUUACUGAACUCAAAUUCGAGCUCUUCUCCAACCUUCUACUGGUCCCACGAUUAGAUUUUUUUCUUUUGGUAAAAUAAUGAAGUGUGAAGAAGCGCUGAACUUCCCCGAGCCGAGCUGACCUGAUGAGUUCGGCGUGCUGAUGAUGAGAACGUAUCCCAACCCUGCAAAACAAACAAGAAGUAAUCUCUAGGGUGACCAACUGGGGAGCCCCGAGGUGGUCCCCGAGGGCACUCCGACGGUCAAGUUAGUCUUCCGGUGGGAGGGAUUCACUGGGGGUAAAACUACUAGGAGUGUUUUGCCAAUAGUGAGCGUACCUUGUACAGUUGGUGUGCGAUACCAUUUAUACCUGCUUGUGAGUCCGACCUCCGUAUGUUUCGGGACCUGCCCGGGAUAACCUCAAUCCCGCGCUGAGGGGGAUUCUCCCCGCCCUCUGCGGGAUUGUUUUCCGGAGCCUCUUGGAGCCCUAGUGGUGAUGUACCCCAGGACGGUUGUCAGGGCCCAGCUCCGACCUUCCUGGGCUGCCACAUGUCUAGGCCCAGGACGGGGCCUCUGCACUAGCCCCCUGGAUUAGGUAGGGCUUCCAGGCAGACCUAAUCUAUACCCCUGCCACGUGGGAGACCAGCACUGCGCACUGCUUUAACAGGGUCACCUCUGGUACAGUGCUGUCCCUGAAAAGCCGCGCCCACGUCCUUUCAGUUGUCGCGUCUAUUCGGUCUCCGUACCGCUCUUAAAUGCAUUCACAUGGGACGGUUCAAAUUCGAGCAAACCGUUUUCCCCCCAUUUCAUCCCCUAUAAAUAGGGGUUGCCAGAUUUCAUCCGACUCUAUUUGCCAUUUUCUUUUCUUCGUACAUUUUUGCAUUCUCUGAAAUUCCAGCGGCAAGACUUCCGGCUCUCCGUGCCCAGAUUCCGGCGAUUCCUUCAUUUUUUCCAUUCCGUUCAUCAGUAAGUCCUUUUCCUUCACCCUUUGUUCCCUUUACCAUCUUUUACUUUUUAUGUCAGAUCAGUCCGGCGUGACUUCCCCCACAUUUCGUAGAACCCUUAGAAUCCUCAUUUCCUCCUCGUCUUCAUCCUCAUCUUCAUCUUCUCCCCCUCCUCUUUCUUCUUCCUAUGCUUCCAAUUCCAGCUUCCAAAUCCCUGACUUGCUAGAGCCCAUAGUCAUCAUGUGCUCUCCCUCUACCUAUUCUCCUUCUGCCCGAAUGCUGGAGGAGGUGGCCGAGCUUGAUGCCCUCAUCGAGCAGCAGGCCACAUCCGUACCCCUCCCCCCGAUCCCCCCAUGACUCUCCUGGCGGAACCCAGGAAGGGGCUGGUGGGGACAGGCACUCCUCCGAGGGGAUCCAUGCCUCCGAGUAGGGGGAUGAUCCUGAAUUCGACUACGGUCACCCCGACCAGUAAGAGAUCACCCUCUCCCCCGAGGAGGUGGCCGAGCUGGCCGGAUCUUUUUCCAUUCCUCCGGCCUUUGAGCCGAGGGCUGCCGGACCUCCCCCUGGCUUUGUAGCCAUCUAUAGGGAGCAACUGGUCGCGGGGCUCCGGCUCCCCAUUCCCUCAGUUCUGGCCGAGAUCUUAAACUAUUGGGGGCUCAGGAUCACCCAGGUCCACCCCAACUGGAUCAGGAUCAUCAUUGGAUUCCUGAUCUACUGCCAGAUCUGCUCCAUCCCCUAUUUUCUCUCCCUCUUCUGAGCCUCUUACACUCUCAAACUCUCCCUUUCUGGGUGGUACUAUUUCUCCCGCCGAACUGCUAACAAAGGUCGAGGUGGGAAGGGCACCCAGGAUCUUCUCUUCGGGGUCCUCUCUUCCAUAAAGAACUGGAAGGGGGACUUCUUCUUUGUUAAAUCAACGCAUUUUCCCCCUAAUGUGUGGAAGGUUGGGGAGGUCGUCUCCGACCCUUUUCCAGAGGACUUGGAUUCUGAAACCCUCAGUCAGCUGGUGACCUCCAAGGUGAAGCUCUACGCGGCCAGAUUCUCCACCGAGCAGAUAUCUGCGGCCGGACUGAUGGGGACGAUGUCCAGGUCCCCUGGAGAAGUGGUGCCUUCCCCCUCAACUACGACGACUGUAAUGCCACCUCUGUGCUCCCGUUGCCUGUUGUUUUUUUUUUCUUUUUUUUACCAACCUAUUUUUGCUAAUCUGGUGGUGUUUGCUGCAGUGAGGAGGUUUUCCAAAUUGUUGGGCACGCCCUCCAAGCCGGUUGCCCCGACUCCGCAGCCGGAGACCGCUAAGAAGGCCUCUGAGGCCGCUCCGACUCCCGGGGGCAGCUCAGGCCCCCAGAAGGAGGCAUCUCACUCCUCCCCCUCCAAGCAGGUCGCCAGUAAGAAGAAAGCGGCUGGGCAGAAGAGGGGCCGAGGGGACGAAGCCCCGCAGCCCGAGAAGAGGCUUGCGCCCACCUCUGCACAGCCCCCUUUCCUGCUGACGUCGGGGGGCGUCCCCCAUGCGGGUCCGGUCCACUUGGGAGUCGGCUCCGCGGAGGAGCACACGCGGGAGAUCGCCCCCUUGAAGCCGGGCCAGGCCCCCUCCAUGCAUGACUCCCGCCGCUUCUGUCCCUCCUGGGGGCUGUCCAUCAACGACCGAACUCAGUUCCCCGAGGUGGCUCGGGAGUUGGUAACGGGCUCGUUCCUUCCGCGCGACAGGAGGUGGAUGGAGCUUGCCAACCCGUCCGAGCUCCAGGAUAUGUACUUCACCGCCCAAACUCAAGUAAGUUCCUUACCCCUUUGGCCAGUUGUACCUCCACUCUUCGGCUAAAUCACGAUGUGCUAACCUCUUUUUCCUUCACCUCAGGCCAAUGCUGCCGGUGCUGCCUUGGUGACCCGCUUCUCCGAGCUGUCUCCCGACUUGGAGAAACUGCAGAAGCUGAAUCGGGAGACAGAGCAAAGGCUCGCCCAAGCUCUUAAGGAGACGGACUCCCUUAAGGCCAAGUUGGGCCAGGCCGAGAAAGAGCUAGAGACGGCUCAGGUCCAGCUCAUCUCCGCCAGGUCAGAGCUAGACCAGGAGAAGGCCGGCGUGGAGAAAUUGAGGGCGGACCACGCCAUCGAGCUCUUCGACACCGUCAGCCGGGAGCGCAAGAAGGCCGUUCGGGAGUUCAUCUCUUCCGAGCGAUUUGCCGAGGAUGUGGCCCUCCUCAACCAGCCCAUCCUCCAGGUCGGUUUCACGAGGGCCCUGGACCAGGUGAAGGGUCUCAACCUGCCUGGCUUCAACUUGGUGGAUUUUAAAGACUACAACCCCGCCGCUGAGGAGAAGUUGGACUGGCUCUUCGAUGGGUAUUGCAAGGGGCAUGCCCUGAAGGAUCUGGUGGGCAGAGAUGAUGUAGGAGCCGAUCUGGCGGAGGUUCCCUUGGAGGAGGACGAGGCUUCCGGCAGAGCUUCCGGGAAGGAGCCGGUGGCUUAAGGGUGUUGAGGGGGACGAGCUGUACAUAGCCAGGCUUUCAUAUCUGGGGUAGAGAGAAAGCUUAUUUUUUCCCAGUGUGAAGGGUGCGGAUAUCUAGCAUCACCAACUCUCCUAGUAUGUAAAACCUGCUGCCGUGUUUUCCUCAUGUCAGCAGUCACCUGCAAGAGGUUUGUCCGCCUAAGGGUAGCGACCACUUCAGAAACCCCUUCUAUUUUCCUUUUAUAGCUCGGUAGACUUUGUAAUAGAUAUGUUUCGAAUGUAUAUAAGAAAUAGCAUUCAAUGAAAACUGCCUAAUUCUGACUUUCAAUUUUUGCUUGCGUCGAGCCUUGAUAAUCGUAGUGGUCUGCCGACCUCCUGGGUCGAGCAUCGAACUGAUCCACCAAGACGAUGUGCCGGCCUCUCGGGUCGAGCAUCUAUCAAGCUUUAAGCUAACAACUGAAUUGUCAAGGACAACAUACUAAGGUAUCAACAAACUACAUCAGACUAAUUAGCGACGUGCCGACCUCUUGGGCCGAGCACCAAGUUUUAAAGGUAGCCAUGCCGACCUCCUGGGUCGAGCGUCAGAAUUUUAAAGACACUCAUGCCGGCCUCUUGGAUCGAUCACCAAACUUUAAAGGCAGCCCUGCUGACCUCCUGGGUCUAGCGUCGAGAUUUUAAAGAUAGUCCUGCCGACCUCCUGGGCCGAGCAUUGUGCAAAACCAACUCGCGAUGAGCCGACCCCCCGGGCCGAGCACCACACUUCCAGAGCAGUCAUGCCGACCUCUUGGGUUGAACGUCGAACUCCCGGAUUUCAACAAACUACAUCAAAAUAGUUUAUGACAUGCCGGCCUCUGGGGCCGAACACCAGACUUUACAGCUUUAAAGGCAGCCAUGCCGACCUCCUGGGUCGAGCAUCCACUCUCAAAUUUUAAGGCAUUCCAUCCGUUACCAUUCAUCCCCAACCCCCCACUAGGACACUUAGCAUUAUCUGAGUGUGCUAGUGUAGGACCUAAACUUUAAAACUAAACGGCGUUGGUAAAAGGAAAGUUAAAAGUCUGACAUUUAUUCAAUGACGAACGUUUACAAGAAUUCUGAAGAAUAGACUACCCUGGCCCAAUCUAACCUACGAAUAAUCGCAAGUUCGAGAAAUGCUAAGUGCGGGGUAUUUCCACUGCAUCUAAUUUCGCAAGCUUGCAGUAGCCGGCUCGGCUUGUUUUCAGGACUUUGUACGGCCCCUCCCAAUUAGGGUCGAGCUUGUUGGAACUAUGGGCUCGGCUGAUGGAGUUCUUUCUUAAGACGAGGUCUCCUGGCUGAUACUGCGUGUUCCUUACUUUUGCGUUAUGAUAGCGGGCGAGCUGGUUUUUGUACUUAGCCAUCCGUAUCGCCGCUUCCUCGCGCUUGGCCUCCAGCAUGUCCAAGUUACACCUCAACUCUUCUUCGUUGGCUGACGCAACGAAGUUCUGUGUCCGAGGCGAGGGGAGCCGAUCUCCGCGGGCACCACUGCUUCUGCCUCGUAAGUCAGGGAAAAAGGGAUCUCAUGGGUAGCUGUCCUCGGCGUGGUGCGGUAAGUCCAGAGGACACUAGGGAGCUCCUCUAGCCAGUUAGACUAGGUUAGUUCCAACCUAGUCUUCAACCCUUGCAGGAUGGUUCGGUUGACGUUCUCCACUUGACCGUUGGCCUGGGGGUGAUCGACCAAGGUGAAAUGUUGGCUGAUCCCGAGCUCGGCGCACCAGUUCCUGAAAGGGUUUUCGGCGAACUGUCGCCCGUUGUCGGAUAUCAAGACAUGCGGGAUCCCGAAGCGGCAGACUAUGUUCUUCCAGAAAAACUUCUGAAAAUUCCCUUCCAGAGAUAGUGGCCAGGGGUUCCGCUUCUAUCCACUUUGUGAAGUAAUCGAUGGCCACCACGAGGUGUUCGUAUCUCCCGGAAACUCGGGGAAAAGGCCCCAAAAGAUCUAUUCCCCACUGGGUAAAGGGCCAAGGACUGCGGAUGGGGACCAUCUCCCGAGUGGGCUGGUGACGCAGCGGGGUGUGCACCUGGCAAGCUUGGCAUUUCUGAACUAGAGCCGCGGCAUCUCGAAACACUGCGGGCCAAUAGUAGCCUAAGAUCAGGCACUUUUUGGCUAACACCCGGGACCCCACAUGUGUCGCACAUAAGCCUUCGUGAACUUCACGGAGGAUGUAGUCGCCUUCCUCGGGAGUCACGCACUUUAACCAGAGAGACAGAUACGACCUCCUGUAGAGAGUUUCCCCAGCGUAGGCGUAUUUAGCAGCUCUGAGUUGGAGUCAGCGAGUUUCGGUUUUGUCCCCGGGAAGGACACCGGAGUUGAGGAAGUUCACGAGGGGAGUCAUCCAGGUGGCCGAGCUGUCUAUGGCCAAGACCUGGAUCGGGUCAUUGCUUUUCUGCUUGACUACCUCUACCAAGACUUCCUUGCUCAGGUGGUCAAACGAGGAGGACGCCAGUUUCGACAGGGCGUCCGCGCGCUUGUUCUGGGAUCUCAGCACCCGCUCGAUUUCAAAAGUAUCGAACAGGGUUAUUGCCUCUCGUACCUUAACCAGGUAUUUCUUCAUGACCUCCUCCUUGGCUUCAUACUCCCCGCGAACUUGUUGGACUACGAGCUGAGAGUCGCUCCGGAUUCUGAUCGCGGUUAUACCCAUCUGGUGAGCUAUCCGCAAUCCUGUUAAUAGGGCCUCGUACUCAGCCUCAUUGUUGGAUGCCGGGAAGUUGAAUCUGAGCGCGUAGGUCAGCUCUUCCCCGGUGGGCGAGGUGAGCAGCAGGCCGGCACCGCUCCCUUCCUUACUCGAGACCCCGUCUAUGAAUAGUACCCACAGCUCUUCCGGCCGUACCUCCGUGGGCGGAGAGCUCGGCUCAGCCAUGGACAAACUUGUCCCCUCGGCAAGGAAGUCUGCCAAGGCCUGAGCUUUGAUAGCAGUGCGAGACUGAUAGCCGAUGUCGUGCUUGGCCAGCUCGACGGCCCACUUGAUCAUUCUGCCCGAGACCUCAGGUUUUGUGAGUAUCUGACGUAAGGGUUGAUCCGUCAUGACAACAAUGCUGUGGGUUUGGAAGUAAGGUCGGAACUUCCGAGUGGCGUGCACCAAGGCAAGGACCAAUUUUUCUGCCGGCGUGUACCGCGUUUUCGGCCCUUGUAGAGCACGGCUGGCGUAGUAUAUUGACCUCUGAGGCCCCAUGUCCUCCCGCACCAACACCGCGCUAACGGUCUCGUUGCAAGCAGACAAGUAUAGGAACAGGGUUUCUCCCUACUCCGGGGCGGUCAGAGCAGGUAGCUCAGCUAGGUAUGCCUUUAGGUCGGUGAAGGCUUUCUGGCAUUCCUCAAUCCAUUGAAAGUCCUUAGGUGCUUUCAAGAUUCGAAAGAAAGGUAGCCCCCUUACCGCGGAGCGCGAGAGGAAUCUAUUCAGGGCGGCCAUCCUUCCCGUAAGCCGUUGGACCUUCUUGACGUUCCUCGGAGGGGCCAUGUCCUUAAUGGCCUGGAGCUUAUCCGAGUUGGCCCGGAUCCCCUCUCGAGAGACUAGGAAGCCCAGGAACUUUUCCGACUUAACCCCGAAGGUACAUUUCUUCGGGUUCAGCCGCAUCCGGUUUUCCCAUAGAAUGUUCAGGAUUUCCCUCAGGUCGGGAGCGAGCUGCCGGUCAAUUCGACUCUUGAUGAUCAUGUCGUCCACGUAAACCUCCAUGCUCCUGUCGAUCUGUUUCUGGAACAACUUGUUGACUAAACGCUGGUAGGUAGCUCCGGCAUUUUUUAGCCCAAAUGGCAUUGUCCGGUAGCAAUAAAUCCCUUCCUCAGUGAUGAAGGAAGUCUUUUUCCGGUCCUCCUCGGCCAUCUCUAUCUGGUGGUAUCCCUUGAAGGCAUCCAGAAAACACAAAACGUCAAAACCCAUAGUAGAGUCUACUAACCUGUCGAUUCUCGGCAAGGGGAAGCAGUCCUUAGAGCAGGCCUUAUUGAGGUCUGUGAAGUCCACGCACAUCCUCCAGGACUGGUUCUCUUUCUUCACCAGGACGGGGUUGGCUAGCCAGGUCGGGUAGUAUACCUCCAGGAUGAUCUUGGAGUCCAGCAGCUUGCCGAGCUCCUUCUUGAUCACCUCGUUCCGCUCCGGGGCGAAGCUUCUCUUCUUCUGUUUCACUGGCUUGAAGCGGGAGUCUAUGUUGAGGUGGUGGACAGCCAGGUCAGUCGGAAUCCCGGGCAUGUCUUCAACCAUCCACGCGAAGACCUGGGAAUAUUCCCUCAGAAGGGCCUUCAAUCUCUCCUUCUCCUCAGAGGGUAGCAGCGCACCGAUGCGGAGGACCUGGUCAGGCCUGUCCUCCCUCAAGGGGAACUCCUCGAUCUCGUCUUGGGUGCCCAACUGUCGGGCCUCCUCCCCCGGGAUGUAGGGCUCCAAGUUGGUCGUCUGGGCGACCACCUUCUCAUGUCCUUGGAGCAUGGCCAAGUAGCAAGCUCUAACCACUUCUGGAUCUCCAUGCAUCUCGGCUAUCCCUCCCGGGGUGGGAAAUUUGACGCUGAGAUGGAACGAAGAGGGAAUAACCCGGAGGGCGUUCAAGGCGGGCCGACCCAAGAAUACAUUGUACGGGGAUGGUUGCUUGACCACCACGAAGUUGACAGGGAUGGCCCGGCAUUUGGGCACCUGUCCUACCGUGACCAUUAGGGUGAUCAUCACCUCCGGGCUGAUAGGCGGUCCAAUGAAGCCCAUCAGGGGUGUCCGAACUAGGGUUAGCUAUCCGUCCUCCAAACCGAGUUUCUUGAACACCCGGUAAAACAGGAUGUCCACUGCGCUCCCCUGAUCGACGUACAUUUUCUUCACCCGAUAGUUAUUUGUCACGACGUCUAUCACGAUGGUCUCGUGGUUUCCAGACGCCAGGGGAAUCGCAUUCCUUGGUCCGAAGGUGAUCUCCUCAUCCAUGCGCAAGCGCUUCAGGGAAUCAUCCCCCUCGGGGGGAGGCCGCCUGUUCUUCCGAGCUGCAUGGUUGUCCCCCCCUGUGGGGCCCCCAGCGAUGGUGUUUAUCACCCCUGCUAAGUUCUGGGUGUCCUGGUCGGGGGAGUUGCCCCGAGGAACGUCACGCCGCUCAGGGCGGUCGCGACGCUGGCCCUCGCCCCUGUCUCCGCGGUAGGUGCGUCCUGACUCCUGGUCUGGUCGAACUUGCCGCACGAAUCGCCCCAGGAAGCCGCGCUGGAUCAGAUCUUCGAUCUCCUUUUGCAGGGCCCAGCACCCCUCCGUAUCAUGCCCAACAUCACGGUGGAAGGCACAGUACCGGUCUUGGUUCUUUUUGUUCCUGGGGGUCCCCAUCUUGGGUGGCUGUUCCCCUAGACCCUCUACCUCCAUGACGGCCAGGAUCUGGGCCCUAGGCCGAGUCAGGGGGUGUAGCCUUUCUCCGGGAGUGGCGGCGGAGCGGGGGCUUUCUCUUUCGAAAGUCGGUCAAAGACGUUCUUUUUGGUCGGGCCAUCCUUGUUCUCGGGGGGGUUUCCCCGUCCCCUCCGGUUUCCGAGCUCCCGAUCUGACUCUCUCUUCAAGCGGGCAGCCUCCUCUGCAUUAGCGGCCGCGUGAGCCCUGGUCAAGAGCUCCUCCAGGUCUCCAGGAGGCUUCUCGGCGAGUUUGUAGAAGAGCUCCUCCGCCUGGAGCCCGUUCAUGAAGGCGGGCAUGACCACCUUUUCAUCCUUGUCCCUGAUCUGCAAGGUCUCCGUGUUGAAGCGGGUCAUGAAUUCCUCAGGAACUCGUCCGGCUUCUGCCUGAUGGCCAUUAGGUGAGCCGCGUUUUUCGAGUAAGUUUUCGAGGAGACAAACUGGGCGGCGAACUGUCUGGCUAGCUCAGGGAAACUCCAGAUGGACCCCGGUGCCAGACCCUGGAACCAGAGCCCAACCUUCCCCUUCAGAAACUUGGGAAAGGUCUUGCAGCGGAUUUCAUCCGCUGCUGUUUGCAGACGCAUGUGCGUCAGGAAGACCGAGAGGUGGUCUUCCGGGUCGGUGGAAGUGUCAUAUAGCUCAAUGUUCGGGAUUUUGAACUUCCGGGGCAGUGGGCAGUCGUCUAUCUCCCGGGUAAAGGGCGAGGUGGUGUAGUUGUCCUUGUACAACCGUGGCCGCAAGAUCUGCUUGAGUUCGUCUCAAACAGGCUUCCACUGGGGAAGGUCGCGCGGUCAGCUUUUGACAGAGCGGUCGGGGGAGCGCUCAAGCUCGCCCCGCGCAGGCUUCCGCGGUGAGGGGUUUCUCGGUCUAUUCCCCGCAGACCGGUCGCGGGAGUACCUCUCGCUAUCCCCGACCAUCGAGGCUCGUGGGCGAGGGGGAGUCCCCGGCCGUUUCCUUCUGGGGGGCUGGUCCCGUGACUCAUCCUCCGAGGGGUCGGGAGGUGAUUCCUUCUCCUUCCCCUUCACCUUGGAGGUCUGCGCGCCCCCGGCUUCGCCUCCCUCCUUCGCCUGCCGGAUCAUAUCUUCCAACAUGGGUAGGUUCUCCGUCACGAACUGAAGGAUCUGCUGUCUCCGCUCUCCUGAGAGGGCUGAGCCUCCGGCGCCCCGAGCCGCCUCGGUCUCCUUUCGCUGGGACCCCUCGCCAGCCUCGGGAUCGGUGGUUUCCAUGGUUCGCUUAGAACGAGUUCUUGCCAUCAACACAACUGCACUUACCUUUCGUUCCCACAGACGGCGCCAACUGAAGAAGCGUUAAGUUUCCCUGAGCCGAGCUGACCUGAUGAGCUCGGCGUGCUGAUGAUGAGAACGUAUCCCAACCCUGCAAAACAAACAAGAAGUAGUCUCUAGGGUGACCAAUUGGGGAGCCCCGAGGUGGUCGCCGAGGGCACUCCGACGGUCAAAUUAGUCUUCCGGUGGGGGGGAUUCACUGGGGGUAAAACUGCUGGGAGUGUUUUGCCAAUAGUGAGCGUACCUUGUACAGUUGGUGUGCGGUACCAUUUAUACCUGCUUGUGAGUCCGACCUCCGUAUGUUUCGGGACCUGCCCGGGAUAACCUCAAUCCCGCGCUGAAGGGGAUUCUCCCCGCCCUCUGCGGGAUUGUUUUCCAGAGCCUCUCGGAGCCCUAGUGGUGAUGUGCCCCAGAACGGUUGUCAGGGGCCUGGGGCCCAGGCCAGCUCUGACCUUCUUGGGCUGCCACGUGUUUAAGCCCAGGACGGGGCCUCUACAAAGUGCAUUAAAUUAAACAAAGUUAGUUACAAUCAUCCGAGAAAAGCAAACUCCUCUGAUGUAUCCCUCGAUAAGAUGUUGACCAUUAAUAGAAUGUUUGUUACAUAUAUAUUCGUAGAGAAUUUUUUAAUCAUUUUGAAAGAUACUUGCUUAAUUGUUUUAUGGUCCAUAACUAAUUUUAAUCGAGACGAGUCGAGUUUCUUUUACAGAGAAUUGGUAUGCUUCAAAAAGAGUGUGGUUGAUUUUUUUUGUAAGCUUUUUGUGGUUUACUCUUUUGGGAGUCCAAAGCCAAUUUAAUGGACAACAAAAGGCAAUGAUUGAAGCCCAUGUGGAGCUGUAACUAGGUAGAUUGGGAGAUUCUGUACAAAACAAAAAAUUGAUUUUGCUUUGGAAUAAUACCUCUCUCGUGUUUUUGAUUGACACAAAGAGGAAAAUUUUUAUUAUGAAACUCAGUGGAAAUCGUCCAAGUCCAACACAACUUGCUUGACAAAAUUAAGAGGAGAGUUCUAUAGGGUCUCAACCAGAUUGCAAGCCUUGGCAUGAAACGCUAAAGGAUAUACCUAACAUCGUUUGGUUAGUUCAGCACCCAUCUUUUAGAGACAUUAUUCGUAAUUUAGGAACAAUCACUUUUUAUACGGAAGAAUUUAGUAUAAAACUUUCGUAAACAAAAAAAAAAAAAAAAAAAACUUUGAUCUAUUAAAAGGUUUUUGAAUAAAAUUUUAAUUAACUUGGCAAUUACAAUGUUUGUAAGUCGUUAUGAGCGAGAAUUAGUUGCGAUGCCAUUGAUUGAUAAUGUGGGCAACAUGUAACCAAAUGAUAAAUGCAUAAUUUCGUGAUUGUGAGGAUAAAGUUGAAAAUCUCAAAAGUGACCAAAAAAACAGUUUAUACCAAACCCAAUGCUUUCCCCUUAUGUAUAGUAUAGUUUAUUCAAGAUUAACCAGUACAUCAUCAACAUUCAGACCUUUAACUAGGUAACAAAAGAUGCAUCGCCUUCAAUGGACAGCAAAUUGGAUAACUGGUUUUGCUUUUUAAUUAUAAGUCUAAUUUGUUCUCUAAUAAGUUAAUUUGUGACUGGACCCUUCCUGAGGCCUGAUUUCUGUGGAGAGUGGGACUAUCUUUUUAUGAAGUUUCAACUAAUCAAUCUUCAGAAAGGCGUAAACCAUCAGGUUUGGUUUAUUUUUGGCAAAUUCCUGAGAUAGGAAACAAAUGAAGCUGCUUUUCUUGGAGCUCUUCAUUUUGUACUAGAGUAGCUGUGUGGUCAGGACUCCCAGAGCCCAGGUCCAGGGUAGCAUAGAUCAGAAAUAAGGAGAAUGGAAGUAACUGUUCUGGUAAUAUGAAUUAGAAUGGAGCAGCAUCUCAAACAAGAAAUUGCAUCCUGCAGUAGUUUAUUCAUGAAAUACAAAGACAAGCAGUAGAAUAACAUCUCCAAGAAAACCACGUAACUUUGCAUGCAAUCAGAAAGAACCAAAGGAAACAGGAUUGUUCAACUACAAAUCAUGAUCAAGAAUAUUCUUCUGAUGCGCACAAGUGACUAGAUAGAACAAUAUUAAUGUCUUACAACACACAUGUUCAUCAGGCCGAAUAUGUCCACAUGGCAAUGUUGCAGAAGAAAAACUAGGUACAAAUCAUCACAUGAGAGCACAAGUAAUAAGUUUUUCAUUGAAUUGUCAGUAAAAAGAAACAACUAAUUUCAAGAAUAUAAAAGAGCGGAAUAAUGCACAAAAUCCUGCCAGACAAAUUGGAAUAUAUCAAGCUAUUCCGAUUUAGCCAAUAAGAUAUCGUAUCUCUGAGGUGAGCAGUUCUCCAGAGUAUUAAGAAACAAACUGGCUAAAUUAUACAUGAUGUUGUGAACAGCAGCAUGAAAACAGAAACCCAUCACACAAAAGGAAGCAUCACGAGUCACUUGUGAAAAGUUCUUAAGCAACAGACUGCGUAAUACAAGUGCAGUUACUAGUUAAAUAGAGAAAACUUUUUCCUUUCUGCUGCGCGUGUAGAGACCCCUGAUUCAUGAGUAACGAUCAGGCUGUAAAAGUUGUUAUACAGAAGUGAUAGUCAUAAAAAUACAAAAGUAACUUGCCAGGCAAUUGUCCAUACCUGCUCUAUGUUGAUAUCAACAAUUCCUAAUAACAAAGCACACUAGCAAACUGGACCAAGACCGUGAAUAGAGUUGCAUUCAUCAAUGAUCUUCAGUUAACUUCUCUAGUUUCAAUGAGACAUGCUUUUGAGUUGUCUUAUGGAUGUAAGAAAAGUUCGUAGCAAAACUAUUAACAGCACCUUGCACAACUAAAUGUCGCUUUGACAGAUAGCGUAAUGGGCUAAUAGCUCAAACACAUGGGAAAGAGCAUAUAGACCACUAAGAUUAUUCAUCAUCGUAAAGCCCCUUACAAAGAGCACACUACCAUACUUCCCUAGAAAAGGUUUAUGAACAAUAAUAAAGGAAAAAUGGAGUUCCAAAAAAACAUAAAAAAGCAGAACAGCAAGAAUCCCGAGGGCAGAUGAACUAUAAGUUAAAUGGUGCUAUUUUCAUGAAAAGAAAACACAAGAAGCAUUUGGCUAUGAAGUUAAAGGGAAAAGAACUAAGAUGUCUCGAAGAAACCACAGUGUGCUUAAGUUGCCUGAAAAUAGUGGCAUACCAUAGACUUGUAUUUACUAGAAGUUGGAUUUAUAUGUCAUGUGCCUCAAUGACAAGUAGCUAGAAAAUUUGGGGAAAUCCUUUCAGCUAAAAAACAAAAAGAAAGAUAACAUUAACUAAUAUGAAACAAAUACAUCACUGAAAACAAGUCAUAGAUCUGCACUCUUCAAAUUGAUCAGGGACCAAAAUUCCUAAUGCUAUAAACAUAGAACCAGGGCAUGCGUAGUACUAAAUAUGACUUGGAUUAAUACGUCUGAACUAGGCUAUUUAACUGCAUGUAUUUAGUUUCCAGGGAAAGAGUCUAGUUUGAUACUUCUGUGUAGUAGAGAAGGGAUUUCUUGUUUGAUACAGUUUCAACGUAGUUAAAAGUGGUACACUUAAACAAGAAGCAAGAAGCCAGUACACAUCUCCCUGCAAGAGGUACAGCAAGAAGUGGUAUACUUAAAGGACGACUACAACAGGUUCUGAUACAUCUCCCUGCACUCAAGCUUGCGUGCCAGUACACAUGGAUAAAAUAUGGUAUUUUGACUGCAUGCACAUAUUUGCAAAAGUUUUACUCUGUAGUAUAGUACCAGACAUAAACCUGGUAUACAAGUUCAUGCCCAACAUAAACUUCUUCUGAGGUCCAUGACUAGUGUGUCCCUAUAUGUAGACAUGCAUGAUCAAUCAUCCCUAUGAUCAUGAGCACAAUUUCAGCAAGGAGACAAAUAGUUCCAAUAAAUUGUACCUGUCAAUGUGAAACCUUCAUAGUAUUCCAUAUACUUUUCCAUCCAAAAUGCAUCUUACAUGUAAAGCAGUUACAUGAGGUUACUAUUAAGUUGCAGCCAAGUGCUCAGUUGGUAUUAGAUACAUGUGCAAAAUUCAAAUUUUGUACUCUGUCAUCAAGUCUGUAACUGAUAGAAGUGCAUCUAGGCAAAACACUUUUUUUCCACAGGAAGAAGGUCUUCUGGAAGUGUACACACUUAAGAUGCAUUUCCUGUGGCAAAAUAAAGACUUUCAAGUUGCAGCCACACAUACUUUUAAGUCAUUUUACUGAUAACCGUUUUGGUAAAGUAAAGCAACCAAAUGUCAUCCUAAUAUAUCCACCAUAAUAAAAUACCAGUUGCCCCUCUUCCUGCAAAAGUAAUUAGUGGUCUCGUAUUUUCAUAGAGCACCCUGCUGUAAGUUAAUCAUCACUAAGAUAUGAAGUCAAACUUUCCUUCCUUUAAGGACCUAUAGGCACAAGGGGUUUUGUAUUUCAAGAGUCUAGAACUUUUGCGAGCCCAACCAUGGGAAUUCUCCUAAGACUGCUAGCUAACUCCCAAAUAUAUCCUUUUGGAUCCAUCUUAAAGUCCAGGAUGCUAUCUCUAGGACCUUUAACUUUAACCUGAAAAGUGAGCAUUCAACAAUAAGUUCAUUAUACCACCAGUAUCACCCAAGCACUUGACAAAAUUAUCUUCUCCCAACCUUGUAAUUACCAAUGCUAUUAUCCUUGAAGACACUUUCUAACAUCUCUUUGUCAAGGUUGUACAUAAUCAACAUAGAAUCUCCAUGAAUGUCAGAGUUCAAAGCAACAGCUAUCUUUCAGGAGAACAUGUAAAGGGGAAUAUUGAGGAAAAGGCAAAAGGGGAAGCCUUUAUUAUGCAAUAUAUGCCUUUCUUUAGGUUGUCGUUGAUGGAAAGGAGAUACAUAGCUUUUGAGGGAACACACACAAGCUUCACCUGAUCACUACCGAAGUGUAAUAUUUUGGUUAAUUAUAGUUACCCAACUAAUUUUUUACUCUAUGCAAGUUUCCUUGACAGAGUAUUGGAUAUCCAAUAAAGAGCUCUUUGCUUUGGUUUGUACUCUGGUGCAUAGAUCUCAUGCUACUGAUUUCUCUGGCAUGCUCAAGAUUUUAUCUGGCUCGAUUUAGAUUUCUUCCCCAUGCCUUUUGUCUUUGCUUUCAAGAACCAGUUGAAACUUGAAAAGUUGACAUAUCUUUGAUCUUCUAGAUAUACCAAAGACGCAUCCACAACCUGGUCAUCCUGUAGUGACACAUACUACCUGCCUCCCAUAUCCAGUAUUUAGAGAAAAAUGAGCAGUCUACCAAGUCAUAAUAGCAUGUCCCACUAUUAUAUCAUUUUCUAAACCAAGAACAUGCAAGCUAGAGAAUGGUCUUAUUCCUAGACUGGAAAUUGGCCAGGUACCAUGUAUGGAAUAGAUUUGGAACUCAGUUUCUAAGUAAAUACCAGUCAAGUAUAAAACCGAGUAUAAAUGCAUGGCUGUGAAAGGUCCAUGACAUAAAGAGGUGUAUAAGACAUUGUUCAUAUGGCUUUUUUUUGGGGGGGGGGGGGGGGGGGUGUUUGUAGGAGGAAAAAAAUUCAACUUGGAACCAGUUAAGUUCAAUAGCCAUUUUCUACUACCUUCACAAAUCUUUAAGAUAAAUAACUGCAGAGAUAAUUUGAGAUCUUACUUUAAUUACCAAUUUACUUGUCCAUUUAGUGUGUGGUUUAUCUGGGUUAUUACAUUUAUGCUAAAGUAUGUUAUUCUCCACAAAGGUACCAGAUGUGCCAGAUAUAAUAAAGAAAGCAGAUACACCAUAGAUGCAACAGAAUAUGCAUCGAACAAGUGCCAGAAUUUGAAUAACAAUUGUUUGUUCAUUAGUUCCUUUUCCAUUCUUGAGUGUGAGGGAGUCAGCUUACUUAGGUGUUUAUACCCCAUAAGCACUAGAAACAACAUUCUUCAGUUAUAACAAGCAGGAUAGCUGAAAAACCUUGCAUAGUCAUCUUGAGAUUUUGUUUUUACCAUACAAAAAUUUCAUUCAACAAGAAGAGGAAAAUUUACAUUGCAUCAACUUAAUCUCAAGGUUGUACCAACAAUGAUUUCCAAUUAACAAAUAUUCCCUACAGCCAUUUUGCACGACAAUGAUCAAUACAUGAUGAGACCAGUAGCAUGGGUAGCCAAACUCUAAACAUUUGGAGCGGUUUGCAGGUAUCCAAGUCCAAAUUACUAGACUAAGAGAAUUAAACAUGCAUUAUUCCUUUCACUGGUUUCCACAUGGACUGAUUUUUCUCUGCAAUAUAUGAACAAUUCAUAGGGUGACUCAAGGAAACAGAAAAUCAUAACUCCUACUUAUAAUACAGCUUGAACUAUCAAACCUAAACAUGUGAAAAACAUGCGCAGCAUAUACCAAGAUAGAGCAAAGCAUAUGGAGGCAAAUGCAACGUACAUAAAAUAACAACUAGCUAGGUUUAUUACUGCAACAAUGAAAUACAAUUGUCACAAAACACACACACCCCUUUGAAAUUUUUUGUCUUUACAGAUAUCAUUUGGUUUCCUUACAGAGAAUCCGAAACAACACAGGGAUUUAAUAACCUCUCUUGCCAGUAGGAGUUCAAGCUAAGCAUCCAAGUUCUCCAUCUGAAUGCUGCUUUUGAGAGGCACAUACUCCCCAAGAU